rnacentral:rRNA from 1 species
AUUGAACGCUGGCGGCAUGCCUUACACAUGCAAGUCGAACGGCAGCACGGGGCAACCUGGUGGCGAGUGGCGAACGGGUGAGUAAUGCAUCGGAACGUGCCAUUGAGUGGGGGAUAACGUAGCGAAAGUUGCGCUAAUACCGCAUAUUCUGUGAGCAGGAAAGCAGGGGACCGCAAGGCCUUGCGCUCUUUGAGCGGCCGAUGUCUGAUUAGCUUGUUGGUGAGGUAACGGCUCACCAAGGCGACGAUCAGUAGCUGGUCUGAGAGGAUGGUCAGCCACACUGGGACUGAGAUACGGCCCAGACUCCUACGGGAGGCAGCAGUCGAGAGGCUUCGGCAAUGGGGGAAACCCUGACCGAGCGACGCCGCGUGAGCGAUGAAGCCCUUCGGGGUGUAAAGCUCUUUGUGAGGGAAGAACUGCAACGGCCUAAUACGCUGUUGUUUGACGGUACCUUACGAAUAAGCUCCGGCUAACUCCGUGCC